GGACAAGCACCCCUUCUGAGAGGUGGUCGUGGGCCUCGUUUGAGAUGUGUGGGGGAACGUGGUAGAGGACAAGCACCCCUUCUGAGAGAUGGUCGUGGGCCUCGUUUGAGAUGUGUGGGGGAAUGUGGUAGAGGACAAACACCCCUUCUGAGAGAUGGUCGUGGGCCUCGUUUGAGAGGUGUGGGGGAACGUGGUAGAGGAUAAGGCCACGGACCAAGACAGCGGCAGCAACAGCAGAGAGUGUCCAAUGAAAUCCGAGCAAUAGUUGUAGACCAUGUCGUAAAUCAUGACAAUGACUGAGGCAGCUACAAUGAUUCAACCAAACCUCAGAAGAUCAACCGUGGC
ensembl:lncRNA